UACGGAGGGUGCAAGCGUUAUCCGGAUUUACUGGGUUUAAAGGGUGCGUAGGCGGGCUUUUAAGUCAGUGGUGAAAACUCCGAGCUUAACUCGGAAACUGCCAUUGAUACUAUUAGUCUUGAAUUUAGUUGAGGUUGGCGGAAUGUGUCGUGUAGCGGUGAAAUGCUUAGAUAUGACACAGAACACCGAUUGCGAAGGCAGCUGGCUAAACUAAAAUUGACGCUGAGGCACGAAAGUGUGGGGAGCAAACAGG
rnacentral:rRNA from 1 species